GAUAGCAAGUGUGAUUGAUACGCCGAUAGAGUAGGUUACCAUGCGAGCAAUCACAAUGCUGAUAGAGUUGGGUAGGUCAGGCAGGCUGACCCGUAGGUGGAGGUAAAGUAGGGGGAAGAAUAACUCUGGUUCGUUUAUCGGGGUGGCUACUUAUUAGGUUAGACAAUCUCCUUCUAAGCUGUUGGAUACGGACUUGGGCAAUGCAUUAGUGCUUGGCCG
rnacentral:lncRNA from 1 species